rnacentral:misc_RNA from 1 species
GAUGAAGAACGUAGCGAAAUGCGAUAAGUAAUGUGAAUUGCAGAAUUCAGUGAAUCAUCGAAUCUUUGAACGCGCAUUGCGCCCGCCAGCAUUCUGGCGGGCAUGCCUGUUCGAGCGUCAUUUCAACCCUCGAGCCCCCCCGGGGACCUCGGUGUUGGGGGACGGCACACCAGCCGCCCCCGAAAUGCAGUGGCGACCCCGCCGCAGCCUCCCCUGCGUAGUAGCACACACCUCGCACCGGAGCGCGGAGGCGGUCACGCCGUAAAACGCCCAACUUUCUUAGAGUUGACCUCGGAUCAGGUAGGAAUACCCGCUGAACUUAAGCAUAUCAAUAAGCGGAGGA